GAGUGAAGUCACCUAUUGUAGAUGGAUAUUUUCAAGGAAUUUAGCCACAAAGGGCAGAGGCAAUAUAUAAUCAGAAUUAAUGGAGAUGGAAGGAACCAGGGAGGGGUUUUUUGAGCAUGUGGAAGAUACACGUUUGAGGUAAUAGAGAAGGAGCCAUAAUACAAGGAGAAACUAAUAAGUGAUAGAGGGGGAAUGACAGAGGGAGCUUUCCAAAGAAGCCAGGAGUACCACACAAGAAAAAAAAAGCACAUAUGGUCAGAUGAUUGCCCCUAUUCUACUUCUCCUUUUCUCUUGGAAGGCUGACAAUUAGGUAGGAAAUGGCCCUGCAGGAGAUGGAAGUCAAAUAUGCACAGCAAGAAUAGAAAGUGCCAUUUACUAACUUUCUUUUUAUUCUUUUCUCAAGUGACAGGUGCAUCUGGAGAUGGAAAAGCAAAGGGGAAGUUUGCUCUACACUGGGAAUGGGCUCCAUAUUGCAAUUGGGAGAUCAAGCUGGAGGCAGGAGGUGCAAGUUAAAUGAGUUGAUGGCUGUACUGGAAUGUUUACUUCUACCAGAUCUGAUGUAGCUAAACCAACCAGGAGCAGAUAAUUGAAGAUUUUCAGUGUUUGUUAAUCACUGAUGACAUGCUUUGGAAGUACUCAAAACAAAGGAUUCCCAGGUAUUAGAGGAGCAGCGAGCAAUCUCCCUUUGGAUAUUUAUGAGAAUUUUCUAGCAGGAAGUUUGGAUUGUGAUGGCUGUGUGACAAUCUGAAACUCAACUCUACUGUGCUUAUCUCAAUCAAGGAAACAACAAGGCCUGAAGGAAAAGUUUGGUGCAUGGUGUUCCUGGGACUUUUAGAACCUCUUAAACCCCAAGUGGGCUCUGGCAAUAAUAUCAGGAAGAAUGAAGCCUCCACUUAAUAAAGGAAGAAUGACUUCAGUGUGGUAUCAAAGAUAAGGAAAAAAAAUGAAGAGGCAGAGGGAAAUCCUGACCUGUUCCUGGCUCUUGGGAGAUAGAAUAAUAUGAUGGAAGAGAUAGGAAGGAAGGACCACUGUAGAUAUAGACUUAAGUAACAGAUAUGAAGCUUUUCCCAAAGAAAAGGGAACCAGAUUACUGAAGGAGAAAACAGCUGCUUGUCUUCUAAGAAAGGAUGAUGUGAAUCAAUAUGAGAUAUAUAGUGAGAGUUAAUCCAAUGAGGCUCAGAGGAAAAAGAAUCAAUAGUGAUUGGUGACUCCCUGGUGAGAAAUCAUGAAACAGCUAUUUGUAAAUCUUAUAAACAAUAAUAGAUAGGCCUAUUUGGUUCCCAAGGAGUCUUUGCCAAGUUCAAAGGGUUGUCAAAAUGGAUGACUCCUACACAUUUUUAGAAGUUCACAUGGAUAUGCAUAAUAUUACCAGAAGGAAUCUAGGAAGGAUUGCUAUUGAUUAUGAAAUCUUGAACAAAAAACGUGAGGAGCACAAAUGAUGUUUUCAUCAUUCCUGCUGAUUAAAGUAGAAAGAAGAUCUGUUGAUUAAGAACACAAUGAUUCAGAAAAGCAUUCAUAUUUAUGAUGUUAGAAUAAAAGAGAAUGAUGUAAUCUUUUGCCAGGGAUGGAUUAAAAAUACUAGUAAGAAUAUAUUUUUCCUGUAAUUUUGAUAAACCAGUUGAGUUUUCAACUGCAAAUGAAGGAAAUAGAGAAAAUUGUAGUAAUAAAAAAGUAUAGGAAUUUUAAAAAAUCCUCUA